rnacentral:rRNA from 1 species
UACAGAGGUCCCGAGCGUUGUUCGGAUUCACUGGGCGUAAAGGGUGCGUAGGUGGUGAGGUAAGUCGGAUGUGAAAUCUCCGGGCUCAACCCGGAAAUGGCAUUGGAAACUACCUUGCUGGAGGAUUUGAGGGGGGAUUGGAAUACUUGGUGUAGCAGUGAAAUGCGUAGAUAUCAAGUGGAACACCAGUGGCGAAGGCGAAUCCCUGGAAAAUACCUGACACUGAGGCACGAAAGCUAGGGGAGCGAACGGG